rnacentral:rRNA from 1 species
AUUGAACGCUGGCGGAAUGCUUUACACAUGCAAGUCGAACGGCAGCACGGGGGCAACCCUGGUGGCGAGUGGCGAACGGGUGAGUGAUACAUCGGAACGUGCCCAAUCGUGGGGGAUAACGCAGCGAAAGCUGUGCUAAUACCGCAUACGAUCUAAGGAUGAAAGCGGGGGAUCGCAAGACCUCGCGCGAUUGGAGCGGCCGAUAUCAGAUUAGCUAGUUGGUGGGGUAAAGGCCCACCAAGGCGACGAUCUGUAGCUGGUCUGAGAGGACGACCAGCCACACUGGAACUGAGACACGGUCCAGACUCCUACGGGAGGCAGCAGUGGGGAAUUUUGGACAAUGGGCGCAAGCCUGAUCCAGCAAUGCCGCGUGCAGGAUGAAGGCCUUCGGGUUGUAAACUGCUUUUGUACGGAACGAAACGGCCCUUUCUAAUACAGGGGGCUAAUGACGGUACCGUAAGAAUAAGCACCGGCUAACUACGUGCCAGCAGCCGCAGUAACAC